UACAGAGGGUGCAAGCAUUAAUCGGAUUUAUUGGGCGUAAGGGCGCGUAGGCGGACCUGUAAGUCAGAUGUGAAAUCCCGGGGCUCAACCCCGGAACAGCAUUUGAAACUACAGGACUAGAGGGUAGGCGGAGAAAAUGGAAUUCCACAUGUAGCGGUGAAAUGCGUAGAUAUGUGGAAGAACACCGGUGGCGAAGGCGAUUUUCUAGCUUAUACCUGACGCUGAGGCGCGAAAGCAAGAGGAUCAAACAGG
rnacentral:rRNA from 1 species